rnacentral:rRNA from 1 species
GGCGAAUGGAGGAGCGGCGAAAGGGAGAGUAACGCGAGGGCAACCUGCCCCUGGAUCCGGGAUAGCGGUUCGAAAGAGCCGGUAAUACCGGAUAAUGUCUCCGGACCAAAGGUGUGAUUCCGUCUGGGGAUGGGCCCGCGUCCCAUUAGCUUGUUGGUGAGGUAACGGCUCACCAAGGCUGAGAUGGGUACCGGGUGUGAGAGCAUGGCCCGGCUCACUGGGACUGAGACACUGCCCAGACACCUACGGGUGGCUGCAGUCGAGAAUCUUCGGCAAUGGGCGCAAGCCUGACCGAGCGACGCCGCGUGCGGGAUGAAGGCCUUCGGGUUGUAAACCGCUGUCAGUUGGGAGGAAAUGCAUCAGGGUUCUCUCUGGUGUUUGACCGAUCUUCAGAGGAAGGCCGGGCUAAGUUCGUGCCAGCAGCCGCGGUAAGACGAACCGGUCGAACGUUAUUCGGAAUCACUGGGCUUAAAGAGUGCGUAGGCGGCCUUGCAGGUGAGGUGUGAAAUCCCCCGGCCCAACCGGGGAACUGCGCUUCAAACCGUGAGGCUUGAGGGAGACAGAGGUGAGCGGAACUGAUGGUGGAGCGGUGAAAUGCGUUGAUAUCAUCAGGAACACCUGUGGCGAAAGCGGCUCACUGGGUCUCUUCUGACGCUCAGGCACGAAAGCUAGGGUAGCGAACAGGAUUAGAUACCCUGGUAGUCCUAGCUGUAAACGAUGAGCACUUGUUCGAGGGGACUUCCGCAUCUUCUCGGACGUAGCGAAAGUG